GACGAACGCUGGCGGCGUGCUUAACACAUGCAAGUCGAACGGAAAGGCCCUUCUUUUGUGGGGUGCUCGAGUGGCGAACGGGUGAGUAACACGUGAGUAACCUGCCCUUGACUUUGGGAUAACUUCAGGAAACUUGGGCUAAUACCCGAUAGGAGCUCCUGCUGCAUGGUGGGGGAUGGAAAGUUUCGGCGGUUGGGGAUGGACUCGCGGCUUAUCAGCUUGUUGGUGGGGUAGUGGCUUACCAAGGCUUUGACGGGUAGCCGGCCUGAGAGGGUGACCGGCCACAUUGGGACUGAGAUACGGCCCAGACUCCUACGGGAGGCAGCAGGGGGGAAUAUUGCACAAUGGGCGGAAGCCUGAUGCAGCAACGCCGCGUGCGGGAUGACGGCCUUCGGGUUGUAAACAGCUUUCGCCUGUGACGAAGCGUGCGUGACGGUAAUGGGUAAAGAAGCACCGGCUAACUACGUG
rnacentral:rRNA from 1 species